rnacentral:rRNA from 1 species
UACGGGGGGUGCAAGCGUUGUUCGGAUUUACUGGGCGUAAAGGGCGCGUAGGCGGCCAGCACAAGUCAGUUGUGAAAUCUCCGAGCUUAACUCGGAACGGUCAACUGAUACUGUGCGGCUAGAGUGCGGAAGGGGCAACUGGAAUUCUUGGUGUAGCGGUGAAAUGCGUAGAUAUCGAGAGGAACACCUGCGGCGAAGGCGGGUUGCUGGGCUGACACUGACGCUGAUGCGCGAAAGCCAGGGGAGCGAACGGG